AAAGGUUAUCGAGUGUGGCCUACAGACUACACUUGGUUUACAAAAGUAAAUAUUGAAUGUAGUUAAUAAGCGUCUCAGUAUAUAAAGAUACCAUCACCGUUUCGCCGCAGUUAAUUGUCCUGUUAACUGAUUGACAGUCAUGUCGAAAUUCACGAUUCUUUUGGCGCUGGUUGCCUGCUUUGCCCUUGUGGCGGCUCGUGCCCAAGUGAACGUCGUCGAUGAUCCCAACAACGGAGUAAACGUAGUGAAUGAUCCCAACAACGGAGUACACGUCGUAGAUGAUCCCAACAACGGAGUAAACGUCGUAGAUGGUCCAAGUGGACCAACGCCGAGAGGAGGAAAUAAGUAAUUUAAUCAAUAAAAAAUAGUGUUCAUUAAAUUUAAGACUAAAAUUAUAAUGUGCCUAUAAUAUAUCCAUAAAAUUGUAAUAAAAAUCUUAA